UCUCACGCCGUCGCCAACUCUCCCAACCUUCUCUCCCAAGUUUCAAACGUCUUUUCCCCUGAAGUGAGGUGAACAACAUACCCCAAACAGGUUCACUCUCAACUACGGCUACAUGGCGUGGGGCUAACAAGGUGGAUUACCUCAUUCCCCUCCUUCAGGGUUAGGGUACUUCAGCCUCAAUUGCAUCUUUGUUUUAAGUCAGUCAUACAAUAUGACCCACUAAGGAGAGUUAAAACCCUGCCCUAAGCCCAACCAACAGACACUGAACCAAGCAGGCCACUGUCAGCUUGAGGGAAAUUGUUUAAUUAGUAUGCAAGCCAAUGCAGUCACUUGUUACCAGCACCAGAGGAGAGGCCUUUACUGUCACAGGCCAAGGUGUUUUCCCUCCCAGUCCAGACAGUGUGUGUCUACUUGUGACCUUGCCAAUCAGCUUACAUUGGAAAGGAACCAGAGGUGUUGCUGGGUUUGGACCAAGUGGGACUGAGCAGGGUAUCAGAAGCACGACCAGGGCUGAAUGGUGGAACCACGCAGACGACACGGUCAAAAAAUUUGUGGGCAUGAAUGCAUGAGUGGGCAUGAAUGCUCUCAACCCGAUGCUGCCAAUGAUCAACAAGCUAAGAUGGGGUCACCUACACUAUAUUCAGACGGCAGAUAAUUUAGAUUGGUCAGAGAUUCAUCCACCAUGGUCUUCUGCGAACUUUGAGGAAUAUACAUCUGCGGUCACAGGCUUUGUUGGGAAAUGUGUGAAUGAUGUUGUCCAAUCCUAACGGAAUGACUUGGAAGAAUGGAGAAACCCACAUUGUGCUGAAAGCCUGCAAUGUGUUUGAACAUCAGUCUCAAGUACGCAAUUGAUUUGGUUUCGCCCAAAGCAUAAAAAAAAAAGAAUACAAGUUUUUUUUAAAUCCGUUAAAGAUGCUAAAUGAAAAUACAUACUGAAACUUUAAUCUAUGUAUAAUAACUCAGACGUGCCCAGAAAAUCUAUCUAGCUGCAUGAUGUCAACCCAUGCCGACAUUCCUGGACGAGCUAAACAUUCUACGCUUGAUUCAAGUGAAGCCAACCAAGAAGCUCUUGCUGCUCUCUUUUAAAUGUACAAAUGUCAGUUGCAUAUGAAGUUAUGUAUCUACGGCAUGUGUAAACACUUUACACCAGCCUUAACUUUCUUCCCAUUCUGUCUGUGCCUUCCCAUUAUGUCUAUAUUAAAGCGGACAACCUCC
ensembl:lncRNA